AAAAAAGGUUACAUACAUUCUUAAGAAACACUAAAAGUGGUCUUAUAUAAGAACUAAUCAUAAUUUUGCAGAAUCAAUUAACGUAAUGACUAGAACCAAUUUUAUUAGCAACGGUUAUGCAAAAAGUUCUAUAAAAACCUCUUACCCAUAUGUGCUGUGUGUUAGUCUUUACGCCUGAGCUGAAGGAAUUCAAUAGUUUUCGUAAAAUGAAAUCGAUAGCAAUUGUAACCCACAAAAAAAUCAAAGAAAAAUACAUUCACACUAAGAUGUCUUAAUUGCUAGAACUUUUUUUUUAGUCAGACGCGUCAAGUAUUUUAUUGUAUGACUUUCUCGAUUAAAUCAGUAAGUUUUUUUUCGAGUAUAUUGCCUGUGUUGUGAAGGUUCCAUUGCGACAACAUUAAUUAGAUUAAAAUGCCUACAAAUCAUUUUGGAACGGCACCCGAGUGACAACCUCCGCAUUUCGGAGCGAGUAAGCUCGGACACUUGUGGCCUAAUUAAUAAGGCAGGCACCUGACCAGGUCGAAGGACGAGCCCCUAAGGACACGCACGUGGAACAAAGGCAAAAACUACGCACACGCGCACUUUUUAUGGCCCACCAUUCGAAGGGAAAUAAAACGAAGCACGAAGGACGAAAGACUUAGCCGUUUUUGCCCACAUUUUGGCCAGCGGCCAAAACACACAUCAAUGGGGUAUAAUCUCUUGGAGCCACGGGAAAAUCUGGAGGAUGGACAAGGGUUCGGUGGGAUUAAGGAGCGCAAGGAAGUUUCUGUUGAAGAAAAAGGGGUUUUUGUAAAUUAGAACAAUAUUUUUAAAUACUUUGCAAUCAAAAGUUUAUCGAAAUAGUAAGCCGAACAAAUUAUUUGGCAAAUACUA